rnacentral:rRNA from 1 species
AGGAAGUCGGAAAUGUGGAAUUAUUGGACGAAUGGCCCCACACCAUGAACCACCAAUGCGGGGGGGUGAAGACGGUUUUUGAAUUUUACACCCUUUUCGGGGGGGAAAAUUUUCGGUUCCCCCAGAAAAAACCCCCGGCAAAUUUUUUCCCCAAACCCCGGUUAAAAAUAGGGGGCCAAACUUUUUCGGAAUUUUUGGGGUUAAAAGGUCGUAAAGGGGUUGUUUAAUCUCAGGUGAAAAACCCGGGGUUUAACCCGGGGGUCUCCUUGAAAACUGCCGACUUUAAAGCUCCAAGGGGCAUUGGGAAUUCCGGGUUUAAGGGUGAAAUUUCUAAAAUUCGGGGAAAAACCCCGGGGGAAAGGGGGUCUAUUGGCCCUUUCUUAACCUUAAGGGCGGAAAAGUGGGGGACCCACAGGGAUUAAAAUCCCGGGUUUUCCCCCCCUUAAAAUAUGGUGAUUAGGAUGGGGGGCGUUCGACCCCCUCCGUGCCGCAGCUAACGCGUUAAGUGCACCGCCUGGGGAGUACGGCCGCAGGUGGAA